rnacentral:rRNA from 1 species
AACGAACGCUGGCGGCAUGCCUAACACAUGCAAGUCGAACGAGACCUUCGGGUCUAGUGGCGCACGGGUGCGUAACGCGUGGGAACCUGCCCUUAGGUUCGGAAUAACUUCCCGAAAGGGGUGCUAAUACCGGAUAAUGUCUUCGGACCAAAGAUUUAUCGCCUUUGGAUGGGCCCGCGUUGGAUUAGCUAGUUGGUAGGGUAAAAGCCUACCAAGGCGACGAUCCAUAGCUGGUCUGAGAGGAUGAUCAGCCACACUGGGACUGAGACACGGCCCAGACUCCUACGGGAGGCAGCAGUGGGGAAUAUUGGACAAUGGGCGAAAGCCUGAUCCAGCAAUGCCGCGUGAGUGAUGAAGGCCUUAGGGUUGUAAAGCUCUUUUACCCGGGAUGAUAAUGACGGUACCGGGAGAAUAAGCUCCGGCUAACUCCGUG